GACGAACGCUGGCGGCGUGCCUAAUACAUGCAAGUCGAACGCAGUGGGGACGGGUGAGUAACACGUGGGUAACCUCCCAUCAGAGGGGAUAACACUUGGAAACAGGUGCUAAACCGAUACUGAUGGAUGGACCCGCGGUGCAUUAGCUAGUUGGUGAGGUAACGGCUCACCAAGGCCACGAUGCAUAGCCGUCCUGGUGGGGUGAUAGGCCAACCUGGGGCUGGGAAACGGCCCAGACUCCUAAGGGAGGCAGCAGAAAGGAAUGUUCGGCAAUGGAAGAAAGUCUGACCGAGCAACGCCGCGUGAGUGAAGAAGGUUUUCGGAUCGUAGAGCUCUGGUGUUGGAGAAGCGGUAACUAACCAGAAAGGGACGGCUAACUACGUGCCAGCCGCCGCGGUAAUAC
rnacentral:rRNA from 1 species